rnacentral:rRNA from 2 species
CACGUAGGGGGCGAGCGUUGUUCGGAAUCAUUGGGCGUAAAGGGUGCGCAGGCGGCUUCUCAAGUCCGGUGUGAAAUACCCCAGCUCAACUGGGGGGACGCGCUGGAAACUGGGGAGCUAGAGUACAGGAGGGGGAGUUGGAAUUCCAGGUGUAGGGGUGAAAUCUGUAGAUAUCUGGAAGAACACCGGUGGCGAAGGCGAACUCCUGGCCAUGUACUGACGCUGAGGCACGAAGGCGUGGGGAGCAAAC